GUGUAUAGAUUAUUUGGACUGUUUGUCACCUCUAGUCCUGGUGGUGGGAGCUUGGGGGAGCCUCAGGUUAUCCAGGUCAUUUAGACUACUAGCCAUCAAGUUAUAAGAACUUAAUAUGGUCUGGCCCAGCAGACAACACAGAUCACCAGGCUGUUAAUCACCUACAGUUCUCAGUUUUCUGGACAGAAGAACAAGUUUUUCAUCUUUCCCAUUGGAAAGACAGUCAGACCUAUAUGCUUAACAUUCCUGGUUUCUCUGGAGAUCUGUGGACACAAGGAGCUUCAUGCUAUUUUCCCAACACUUUUGAGACAGGGGCUCUUUGAGCAUGGAGCUCAUGGGUUUGGCUAGACUGGCUGGACAGAAAGCCCCAGGGAUCCUCCUGUCUCUGUCUGCUGUCCUGUGCUUUGGUUAUAGAUACACUGUCUCCAAAUUUGGUGCCAGUUGCACUCUGCUACACUAGGCUUCUCACAUAGGCUCUGGGAAUCUGAACUCAGGGCCUCAUGCUAAUGCAGCAAGUGUUCAUUAACUGGCCCAUUCCCCAGCCCUGGGAGCUCCUUUUUAGUUCUGUGUCAGCUUCUCUCCUGGAUUCUGCAAACAACAUCCCAGGGAAUCAUGUGGGCCUGAAGGGUCUGGGCGAAAAGGAGGAGGUUGUGGUCGUAGCAGUCAAGGGGGACACAGAAUUAGAGCCACGUAUGUAGGGUUUCACCUCUCAUAUCUUCCAAAUGAUAUGGAGCUGUGUAGGUGUGUGUAUGAACAUGUGCACAUGUGUGCUAUUUUAUAUGUGAGUCAACUGCAAUAUACUCCUCAAAAAACGAUUUUAUAAAGUUAGUUAAUGAGAACAACGAAGCUUUCCAAUGAAUGUUUGAAAUCUGGGAUAGUUGGUGACAGGAACACUCUUCGUCACCAGUUAAUAUGUGAGUUUUGUAUUGUUCAGAUAGGAUUGUGAUAAUUCAAAUAUACACAGACAUAUUAUUUUCAACAGUGAUUUUUGGUUAUUGUUCUGUUUUUAGCACCUGCUUUGCAACAUCUGGAAUUCUGCUAAAAGGAGCAGGAAUAGAAUGGGAAAGCCUUCAUUUCAGGCCUCUUCAGAGAAAUGGUUUCCCUGUUGGCCAUGACUCUUGCAGAGACCCCCACACUAUCAGUGAAUACAGGAGAGACGAGCCGAUGGAAGAUGCCUGGGCUAACAUGGAGCCAGAGGAACCAGGUCCCGGCUUGUUUCUUCCUGCUUUAAGGACCCAUUACUGGAAAGGCAGAGGCCUCUGUGUGGGGAGUGAUGUGAGAAUAGCAUUUCUACAGCUUCUUGAAGAUCCAAUAAGCCACAAGAUCCUACCAUUUUGUCUUUGACUGUACUUUGUAGUCUUUCCUACAUCAACAUCCAAGCUCCAGAGGACCAAAUCACAGAUGUGUGUUUAUUUAUUUAUUUUGAUUAAAAUAUUAGUUAACUUUUAGUUAUUUUUGAGACAGGGUCUCAUUGUAUAACCUAGG
rnacentral:lncRNA from 1 species